GAGAAGUAGAAUCCGGUCAUCCGCCGGUUUCGCGCUAAACCAGCCCAACUCAAAACCAAACCGCCGCAAAAUUUUCUCCGAUCCCAUUUGAGAGUCAUCGCCACCGCCGCCGCCGCCGCCGCCGCGAGAGGGGUCCGAUCGCCGGUUCAUGGCUGGUGCAGCGGAGGAAAUGGGGGAGGAGCCGGCGCCGGGAGCGUUGAACGCAUCGAGUGUCUGUUCCUGGUGGGGGGGUGGACAUCAGCACAGCCUCUCAAGUUGGAAGUGACAAUGUGAUGCCACAAUCACGAACACAAGACACAUUGAUAAGCAUGCUGGUCUGAACAAAGGCAUUUGUAUGAUCCAAAAGUGAUCAUUUAAGUCAUUUUUUGCAAGGUAUAUUGUCCAUUGCCUAUCAAGGUGGAUCUGUGUAUGUUUUUAGCAAAUAGUUCAUUCCAUACCAGUUUAGAUUAUCUGCUGUUUUGUGAGCAGACCCCUAUCAUGUUUGGUGCAUUGAAAUUUUGAUCUUGUAACUGUUUCAGCAGUAGGUCAUUCUAGCCAUAUUGGCGCACUUUUUCUAGGGAA